rnacentral:rRNA from 1 species
GGAAAAUAAUGAUGAUACUUUACUAUGAGCGUUGUCCAAAUCUAGUGCCAGAAGACUCGGUAAGGCUAGGGACGCAAACGUUAACCGCAUUAAACAGGCGUAAAGGGUUUGUAGGCAGCUUUUAAAGCUAGAAUCUAAAUGGGGAUAUAUAAAUAAUACUUAGAGUAGGGCUGAGAUCCGUAUAAACUAAGGGGAAUAUUAAAGGCGUAAGCUAUUUAUCCUGUAAAGAUUGACGCUGAGAAACGAAGGUGAGGAUAGGAAAUAGGAUUAGAGACCCAGGUACCCCUCUCUGUCAACGAUGAAUGGUGGCUGCUAGAUCCUGGUGGCGAGGCUAACGCGAUAACCAUUCCGCCUUGUGAGUACGGCUGCAAAGCUGAA